UGAGCGGUGUGGGAGACUCUCUGACCAC
rnacentral:piRNA from 1 species